UACGUAGGGGGCAAGCGUUAUCCGGAUUUACUGGGUGUAAAGGGAGCGUAGACGGCAGGGCAAGUCUGGAGUGAAAGGCAGGGGCCCAACCCCUGGACUGCUCUGGAAACUGUCCGGCUGGAGUGCAGGAGAGGUAAGUGGAAUUCCUAGUGUAGCGGUGAAAUGCGUAGAUAUUAGGAGGAACACCAGUGGCGAAGGCGGCUUACUGGACUGAAACUGACGUUGAGGCUCGAAAGCGUGGGGAGCAAACAGG
rnacentral:rRNA from 1 species